UACGGAGGGUGCGAGCGUUAAUCGGAAUUACUGGGCGUAAAGGGUGCGUAGGUGGUUAUUUAAGAUAUCUGUGAAAUACCUGGGCUUAACCUGGGGGUGUCAGAUGUGACUGGAUGACUAGAGUAUGAGAGAGGGUAGUGGAAUUUCCGGUGUAGCGGUGAAAUGCGUAGAGAUCGGAAGGAACACCGGUGGCGAAGGCGGCUACCUGGGUUAAUACUGACACUGAGGCACGAAAGCGUGGGGAGCAAACAGG
rnacentral:rRNA from 1 species